rnacentral:misc_RNA from 1 species
GGAAGGAUCAUUAACACAAAUUGAUUCCCCCCCCAUUUUUAUAACAAAACAAACAACAGUGUUUUCACAUCUCCUAUUUUACCAUGGUGUGCACGGGCCGCUUCGGCUCGUGCUGCCAUCAACCCCCUUCAAAAACCCCUUUCACAAGAACCAAAACAAACCAUUAAACAACCCCAUUCUAAAACCAAUACUAAACGUAACUAAUAAUGUCUAAACGACUCUUAGCAACGGAUAUCUUGGUUCUCGCAACGAUGAAGAACGCAGCGAAAUGCGAUACGUAAUGCGAAUUGCAGAUUCCGUGAAUCAUCAAAUCUUUGAACGCAAAUUGCACUGCCAGGUCGACUGGCAGUACACCUCUUUGAGGAUCGGCUAAACCCCAUAUCGAGUCCCCGCCGCUAUGCAGCAGCAGGAGUACUCGGAGAAUGAGCCUUCAGCCCACCCGGGAUCAUCCCCGGAGGGUCGUGGCUUCAAGCAGUAUCACGUUGAUCGGUCUCCCCCCAUCUUCCUCUUAACUGGGGAGAGGGGGGGGGAGGCUACACACCCCGGCGCACACACAAGGUUCUUACCCACCACCGUCGUGCCCUGAGUUGGUUCCCAUGCCAGUUACACCGGCGGGAUCACACCAAACAGCUUCAGGGAGUCCAUGACACGGGUGAGCAACCGUGCACCACCGGAGGCGCGAACGAUCUGGACGUGUCGAAGAAAACCGCGAACAUACGAAAUCGAUCUCAAAUGAAGUGAGAGUACCCCGUGAACUUAAGCAUAUCAUUAACGGGAGGAAAAGAAACUAACAAGGAUUCCCCUAGUAACGGCGAGUGAAGCGGGAAGAGCUCAAAAUGGAAAUCGACUGGACCGGCGUCCCGUCGAGUUGUAAUCUCUAGACGUCAGAUCGCAGGCUGGCCCGGGUAUAACUGCUUUGGAACAAGCGGUCAUAGAGGGUGAGAAUCCCGUCCGUGACUCGGUGACCUUGGCCUGUAAUGAUCGGCGUUUGACGAGUCGAGUAGCCUGGGAUCGCUGCUCAAAAUGGGUGGUAAACUUCAUCUAAAGCUAAAUACUGGCGAGAGACCGAUAGCGAACAAGUACCGUGAGGGAAAGAUGAAAAGACCUUUGAAAAGAGAGUUAAACAGUACUUGAAAUUGUUAAGAGGGAAGCGCUGGAAACCGAUCAUGCGGUCGUGCUACACGGCAUUUGGGUUGGCUCGCGGGCGGCGUGGCGGGUGGUCGCAAGACUCCCGCCGGCGUCGUCCGGGUACUGGGCCUUCCUGUGUCGGCUGGGCACGGCAUGCAGAGUCAGUACGGAUUCGGGUCGUCUUAAGGGAGAAGGUCCCGGGGAAGGUAGGGCGCGGCUUCGGCCGCUCCUGUUAUAGCCCCGGGGUUCGAUACCACGGCCUGGAUCGAGGACGGAAAUCUCGCGCCUUCCAUUCGGAGGGCAGGCCUGAUUGGCGGCCGUCUGCGGCCACGACGGGGACGACAAAAGUGGUGUCCGCCGUGGGUCCGCUGGGCGCUCCGCCGGUCUGAGUGCACUUUGCGAGAUAGAGGUUGCUGACGAAUAGGUUUUCAUUGACCCGUCUUGAAACACGGACCAAGGAGUGUCGGACGUAUGCAAGGAGUUGGGUGAGUAAAACCCUGAUCCGCAAUGAAAGUGAAGAUGCCCCUCGCGGGCGUCGAGGUACGAACGGGGCCGGUAUGGCCGCCGCGCACUAUCGACCGAUUCUUUGCUUGCGAAGGAUUUGAGUAAGAGUAUACUUCCGGUGACCCGAAAGAUGGUGAUCUAUGCCUGAGCAGGAUGAAGCCAUCGGAAACGAUGGUGGAGGUCCGUCGCGAUACUGACGUGCAAAUCGUUCGCUUGACUUGGGUAUAGGGGCGAAAGACUAAUCGAACCAUCUGGUAGCUGGUUCCCUC